rnacentral:lncRNA from 1 species
UGACUGGAAAGAUAUUGGCAAUUUAAAUGGAGAAAAAAUUCAUUAGUUAUUUCUGCAUUGAAAUGUAAUAUUUAAAAGAAAAAACAAAGAGCACUAAACUUGUAUUUAGGAGACAUUACCUUUGAGAUGUUAUGAGAGACUCUCAAGGCCCUCCCCUCAAAGUCCCAAGGCCUCUUCCAUAUGAGCUAUCACGUUUUUCCCCUUCCUAUACUUUCAUUUUCAGAACAAUUACUCUACCUACAUUUUAGAUGUUAUUCCUUCUUAGUAUAUGUUCAAUCUCCAGUACCAAAAAAAAAAAAGAGAGAGAAAUUCACAUGUAAUGCUUAAAAUGGAUGGAUGGAUGGAUAGAUAAAUAGACGGGACCUAAAUAUUCAUCAGUGGCUCAAUGAAUGAACGAUGUAUGAUAUGUUCAGAUGAUAGAAUUGUGUAUCCCAGUUACAAACAACUACAUCCAAGUUGUGUGAGAAUAGUUACCUAAAACACUGUUGAAUGAAAAAAAAAGAAGGUAUAAAUGAAACAUUGUAUAACAUUCGUGUAAGUUGGAAUGGAUCACUUAUUUUAAAAGUUUUUAUAUUGAAAUAUCUGUGUAUGUAUGCAAAACUAAGAUGGGUUUGAAAUCAAUAAUGCCUCUAUUGAUUGUGUUGUCUCUGGCAAAAAAGGAGUUAAAGGUGUUAAUUAAGAAGGGUCUUUAGCUUGACAUGUAUUUUUUACACCUUACAAAAGACCAGUAUAAGUAGCAUAUAAAAUAAUUCCUAAAAGUUACAGAUAACAGUGAUAAUAUGAUUGGAUUGUCGUAAUGGUGUUUUUUCUAGUACUUUGUCAGAAUUGUCAAAGGAAGCCUGUAUUCAUAGAAAGAAAUGUUAUAAUGGACUCUUAUGUCCUACCAGAUGCUGAACUCUUAUUAAAAAUAUUUCCAGAA